GCGCUUGUGGCGGAAUUCGGUAGACGCAGCGUCUUGAGGGGGCGCCGGGAAACCAUGCCGGUUCGACCCCGGCCAAGCGCACCA
rnacentral:tRNA from 1 species